UACGUAGGGGGCUAGCGUUGUCCGGAAUCACUGGGCUUAAAGGGCGCGUAGGCGGGCUGUCAAGUCUGGGGUGAAAUGCUGCGGCUCAACCGUAGAACUGCCUUAGAUACUGACGGCCUCGAGGAAGGUAGGGGCAUGCGGAACUGUAGGUGGAGCGGUGAAAUGCGUUGAUAUCUACAGGAACUCCGGUGGCGAAAGCGGCGUGCUGGACCUUUUCUGACGCUGAGGCGCGAAAGCUAGGGGAGCAAACGGG
rnacentral:rRNA from 1 species